rnacentral:rRNA from 1 species
UACAGAGGUGUCGAGCGUUGUCCGGAAUUACUGGGCGUAAAGGGCGUGUAGGUGGGCGGAUAAGUCGAAUGUGAAAUCACCGGGCUUAACCCGGUAACUGCAUCCGAAACUAUUCGUCUUGAGUGCAGAAGAGGAGAGUGGAAUUCCCAGUGUAGCGGUGAAAUGCGUAGAUAUUGGGAGGAACACCAGUGGCGAAGGCGGCUCUCUGGUCUGCAACUGACACUGAAACGCGAAAGCUAGGGGAG